AGUGAACGCUGGCGGCAGGCCUAACACAUGCAAGUCUAACGAGUGGCGGACGGGUGAGGAAUACAUCGGAAUCUACUUUGUCGCGGGGGAUAACGUCGGGAAACUUACGCUAAUACCGCAUACGAUUGAAUGUGCCGAUGUGGGAUUAGCUAGUUGGGGGGGUAAAGGCUCACCAAGGCGACGAUCCCUAGCUGGUCUGAGAGGAUGAACAGCCACACUGGAACUGAGACAAGGUCCAGACUCCUACGGGAGGCAGCAGUGGGGAAUAUUGGACAAUGGGCGCAAGCCUGAUCCAGCCAUACCGCGUGGGUGAAGAAGGCCUUCGGGUUGUAAAGCCCUUUUGUUGGGGAAGCGGUACCCAAAGAAGAAGCACCGGCUAACUUCGUGCCAGCAGCCGCGGUAAUAC
rnacentral:rRNA from 1 species